GACGAACGCUGGCGGCGUGCUUAACACAUGCAAGUCGAGCGGAGCGGCGAACGGGUGCGUAACGCGUGAGUAAAUGCCCCCCUCUCUGGGAUAACAGUUGGAAACGGCUGCCAAUACCGGAUAGUGGGGGAUGACUCGCGGCCUAUCAGCUUGUUGGUGGGGUAGUGGCCUACCAAGGCGACGACGGGUAGCCGGCCUGGGAGGGCGACCGGCCACAAGGGGCUGAGAGACGGCCCAAACGCCUACGGGAGGCAACAGGGGGGAAUAUUGCACAAUGGGGGAAACCCUGAGGCAGCAACGCCGCGUGCGGGAUGACGGCCUUCGGGUGGUAAACCGCUUGCAGCCAUGACGCGGUAGUGGCAGAAGAAGCACCGGCUAACUACGUGCCAGCCGCCGCGGUAAUUC
rnacentral:rRNA from 1 species